rnacentral:rRNA from 1 species
UUGAUCCUGGCUCAGGACGAACGCUGGCGGCGUGCCUAAUACAUGCAAGUCGAGCGGACAGAUGGGAGCUUGCUCCCUGAUGUUAGCGGCGGACGGGUGAGUAACACGUGGGUAACCUGCCUGUAAGACUGGGAUAACUCCGGGAAACCGGGGCUAAUACCGGAUGGUUGUUUGAACCGCAUGGUUCAAACAUAAAAGGUGGCUUCGGCUACCACUUACAGAUGGACCCGCGGCGCAUUAGCUAGUUGGUGAGGUAACGGCUCACCAAGGCAACGAUGCGUAGCCGACCUGAGAGGGUGAUCGGCCACACUGGGACUGAGACACGGCCCAGACUCCUACGGGAGGCAGCAGUAGGGAAUCUUCCGCAAUGGACGAAAGUCUGACGGAGCAACGCCGCGUGAGUGAUGAAGGUUUUCGGAUCGUAAAGCUCUGUUGUUAGGGAAGAACAAGUACCGUUCGAAUAGGGCGGUACCUUGACG